UGCCCGAUUGGAGAAAGCGUCGAAGCUUUUAGAUGCUAUGCAAAAAUGGCAGCCAACCACUAAACUAAGAGAGGUCGGCAGAGGAAAAGAAGAAGUGAGAGACGUUGAUUGCUACGUACGUGCAAUACUUAAACUCAAUUAAGGCGAGGUGUGAGGCAACAAAAGCUGGAAUCGAAAGCCAUGAGGGCUGGCAAUGCUACCCUUAGUCAACCACCCAGGAUGAUGAUGGUGAUGCUCUGAUGGCAGGAAAGGCGAUGAUGACAGAGGAGAGGAAGAAUUUCUACACUUGAUAUAUUUAUGUCCAAUUCAGAUGUUAUUAUGCCACAUAUAUCUUCCCAUCAGCAUAUUUAGUCGCAAUGUUCUUUUUUAAGCAGUAAACGUUACUCAAUUUAAUGGCAGUGACGUUUUAAGGCCUUUUUGAAUCAUCAUGGUUAUUUUCACUUUUGAUAUUUAUCACGAUGUCUGAUGUUCUUUUUUAAUAUUAUAAUGGGUAAAUUUGUCUUUUCACCCUA